UGGGGAAUUUUGGACAAUGGGGGCAACCCUGAUCCAGCCAUGCCGCGUGAGUGAUGAAGGCCUUCGGGUUGUAAAGCUCUUUUGGCGGGGACGAUGAUGACGGUACCCGCAGAAUAAGCCCCGGCUAACUUCGUGCCAGCAGCCGCGGUAAGACGAAGGGGGCAAGCGUUGUUCGGAAUUACUGGGCGUAAAGCGAGUGUAGGCGGUUGUUCUAGUCAGGCGUGAAAGCCUUGAGCUCAACUCAAGAAAUGCGCUUGAUACUGGAUGACUCGAGGACCGGAGAGGAUAGUGGAAUUCCCAGUGUAGUGGUGAAGUACGUAGAGAUUGGGAAGAACACCAGUGGCGAAGGCGGCUAUCUGGACGGUUACUGACGCUAAGACUCGAAAGCGUGGGGAGCAAACAGGAUUAGAUACCCUGGUAGUCCACGCCGUAAACGAUGGGUGCUAGACGUUGGCGGGCUUGCUCGUCAGUGUCGCAGCUAACGCGUUAAGCACCCCGCCUGGGGAGUACGGCCGCAAGGUUG
rnacentral:rRNA from 1 species